UUCGAAAGAAACAACUGAUAUUCAGAUAAAAAUUUAGAAAUCGAAAAAUCACAUAAAAAAUAGCGAAAAACGCGAAAUGAAAACUAUGCCGAUGAUCAAAUUGAAGCGAUAAAUAAAAUAAAAUAAUCUCAUAAGUAAAUAAAAAUGCUGAUCAAUUAAUUAAACCUCGAAUUGCAAAUUCAAAGAAUUCACCUCAAAAGUAUCACAAUUUGAGCCAAAAUGCGCAACAAAAAAGCAAAUGCCGACGAUCAAACAUUAACAAAAUGAAAACAUGAAUCAAAAUUGAAGAACAGAUUAAGAGAGAGAAAAUGAUGAUACAUGAGAAGCUGAGAAGCGACUUCAGUGGAGAGCUCUGAGUGCGCUUCAAUGGAGGAGAGAGAAAGGUAUUUGGAUUAAUUUUAAUUUUUAUUUUUUUAAAUUUGGGUUUUUGGCCCUUUAAUUUUUCUUUUUGGCCCUUUAAUUUUUAUUUUUUUUGAUAUUAAUGAGCUGUCAAUAAAAGCCCAUUAUUAACCCUAUAUCUUAAAGCCCUUUAGUGACCCUGUCCACUAAAAUAUUAGGGUCAAAACCCUUUAAAUUUUGGUCCGACCCUAUUAUCAAUGGGCAGCCCUGUCCAUUAACCACCCCUACUCUCUAAUUCAUCUCUUCUGCAUUCAUAAAGAGAAAAAUCUGCUACAAAACAACUCCAUGUUUAGGCUUUGAUUUAUACGAUUUCAGAUUUAUGCCUGAUUUGGGGAAUUUAUCAGUCUACUUAACUAUUGUUGCCAAGUUGUGUGAUUUUGAUUGCUUUAUUUUGUGUUCACUGGAAAUGUUUUGAUGUUUAUUUUCAAAUUUUUUGAGUUAUCAGUUGUUUUCUAUGUAUUGUAGCUAUGAGAAUACGUCUGAUUAGGUUAAUUUGUGUUAAAUUAUAUGUAUUGAUUUACAUGUAUUGUUCAUUUUAUUGUAUAAUUAAGGUUUUAGUAUUUAGGUUAUGAGUUGAUUAUCAAUUAGUGUUAAUUUUUGGGGUUUGGAAAAAGUUGAUGAAGAUGAAGAUUAUUCAAGUGGUUUUCACAUCUUUGCAAAAUUGUGCUUAUUGCCCUUGGUUUUUUAUGAGUAUUUUCUAAACUGGUGUGUGUAGUCAUGUAGGUAAUUGAUAACUGGUGAAAUUUCAGAAAAUAUGCCAAUGCAGAAGAUUUAUCUUGUCUCUUUUUUUCCCCCUCUUCUGAUAAGUGAAAAAUAAAAUCGUUCGUGAGGCCAUCGAGUUUGUAAAAGCCCAUCCUUCUCUAUUUGACCGGGCUUUGCAAGAAAACAUUUUUGAAGUUGAUGACUUGAUGAUGGAGCUUAUUAAUUCUGUUGGCAUAUUAAGUAAGCUUGAUACUACAUUGGUUUAUGAGCAACAUGCUAUGUAGAAUAUGUCUACUUCAGAACAUAGUUAACUGGUUCUGCUCCUAUGUUGUUGUUCUGCUUCUAAGUUGCUACUGUUGCUGCCCCUGCCACUUUGCUGGAGCUGUUGUGUAAAUCCAACAAUUGUAUUUUUUUGUUAUUUUUUUUUUGCAAGUGUAAAAUUACAGUUAUUAAUGAAAAUAUAUGAGGUUUAUGUUUAUUACUUA